rnacentral:rRNA from 1 species
CAGUAGCCGCGGUAAUACGUAGGUGGCAAGCGUUGUCCGGAAUUAUUGGGCGUAAAGGGCUCGCAGGCGGUUUCUUAAGUCUGAUGUGAAAGCCCCCGGCUCAACCGGGGAGGGUCAUUGGAAACUGGGAAACUUGAGUGCAGAAGAGGAGAGUGGAAUUCCACGUGUAGCGGUGAAAUGCGUAGAGAUGUGGAGGAACACCAGUGGCGAAGGCGACUCUCUGGUCUGUAACUGACGCUGAGGAGCGAAAGCGUGGGGAGCGAACAGGAUUAGAUACCCCAGUAGUCCCUGUCCCUUAUAC